UAAAGAAAUAACCAAUCUAUCUACCUUUUAGGGGGUGUUUGUUUUUUAUGAAAAGCACUUCAGAACCUCUUAUGUCUGCCCCACGCAGACCAAGCGUAGACGUUUGAGUCUGCAGCAUGUUUGUUUUUUGGGAGUGAUUCCAUUAAAAAACCACUUCCAACCCUCUUCCUCGCACAGACCUUGCCUCAAGUCUUCACACCUCUUCGAAACCUCUACACAUCUCAAAAAAAAAAAAAAACCUAGCUUGCUUCUUCUCCACAGCCGGCCCCCUCCUUCUUCUCCAUCACCGCUCAUCUCCGCGCUUCUCUGCCACAGCCGACCCCAUCCUUCUUCUCCGUCACCACUCUGUCACCGCUCAUCUCCGUGCUUCUUCUCCACAGCCGAAUCUCGCAUCCUUCUUCUCCGUCACCGUACAUCUCGGCACUCACAUCUCUCCAUAGCCUUGCUCUCAGUAUUUGAUGUUUAGGUUUUGAAAGUUGAAACCUAGUGAUCUGAAAAUGCAAGUCUGGGUGCUUUUGUGCUUUAUGAAUGUUUGAAUUUUGUUGAUUGCUCGUUGAUUUUGAUGAGUUCCAUUGAGGCGUCGGUUAAGGAAAUAGUUUAGAUUGAAGACUGCAGAGAUUUUGUCCACCUCUUCAGCUGUAGAUGUGGUCCGCAGACUGCAGACAUUUUACCUCUAAAAAAACAAACAACGCCUUACUUUGUCAACGUCCUCAUAGCUGGCCAUAUAUAUAUAUAUAUAUAUAUAUAAAUAUAAAAUAACUGUCAGCGACAUUUGAUGUGAGAGCCACCGACUAUUGUUUUUAAGAGUAUCUAAAUUUUACUGCUUCGGUCCUUUGUGCUCUAUUUGCUUUCGAAAAUGGUUUAGGAUUCGUUAGGGGAGGUAGGCCACUUAGCCUUUUUCAAGCAGUUGCUCUAUACCCACUCAGGUUUUGCAAAUGGAAUUUAAUGGUUUUCAAAAGAUUAUGACCGUUCGAAGGUCGUUUUGAAUUUCAAUUAUUAUGAUUUUUUAAACUUAUAUUGUACUUAUAAAAGCAUAUAUAAAGUACACCAAAUUUACAAAAAUCCACAAACUCUCACAUAAUCUCAUCUCUAUAUAUUCAUAAAAAAGGCAAGAAGACAAAUAGUUUUGAUCACCUCUUGGUUGGACGUGUCUAAAAAAAGACGAGGAGCCGUUGCAUUUUGGAACAUCCUUAUUCCAAGAAUUUCGUCAUCAACGCAUAGGUGAAACCAGUCACUCUUCGCACCAAGCUUUGUCAAGGUUUUGUACUCUGUUCUUGGAGGUUUGCAAAUUUCAUCAACUCUUCAACAUCAUGAUGGCUUACAGUGAAGGCUUAACAAAUACAGAAGGGACUGUUGAUGUCCGUCAGGAAUACCAAAAUAUAGACAAUAGAAGAUUUACUCACAUUUCGUCCUGGCAAUUACUAAGAAACCAUCCUCAACGCAACCAGUUGUGCAUCCGGAUGCCGACUCCGACGGUUCAGGGAUUGAUGAUUAGUUUAGUUAUCUAGUUUGUUUAUUUAGGUUUAGUUAUCUAGUUUGUGUAAUGUUUUUUAUUUUAAUAAUUUUAUGUAUGUUUU